GAAAGACUAACUGGCUCAGCCCAAUGCAUGAACACAUUUCUAACUGAUCUCUGUGGUCACAUAGAUGAAGACUAUGGUUGGCCACGCCUGGAUCUCAUGUUCAUCUCUGUAGACUGAAGACUGGUUUGGCAGCCCAUUAAAACUACAGGGAGAAAGGGGGGAUCAUCUUACCCCAAAUGAGAUAAGACAUUGUACAGAAAGAAGGUGGGGGAGGGGGUGCUAACAGGCACAGCUGAUAGUUGUCCAUUACAGAUCUUUUAUGUCUCAAGGUCUCGUUUUGUUUUUCAGCAAACGUCUCUGAAAAUAGAGAAGACUUUUAUAAUUGCAAAGAAAAAAAAUUGUUGAAGGAAAGAGGAGAAAAUGCGCAGAAGACAGGAAGUGGGUGAAUAAGGCUAUCACCAAGACUCUUUGGAAGAGUGCAUCAUCUCUUUGGGACUUCAGGCUUCAUAUUAAAGACAAGACGCAGCUGCCAGGGACUCUGGAGAUUUCGCAGCAGUCUACUAUGGUGAAAUAAAAUACCAUGUUAUGCUGGAAAACUCACCAGUCCUUUCUUCACAUGGGCUGUGCUAUCUCAUGGCCAGGAUAAAGGAUCCCAGGCCUGGACAGCUACUGCUUCUCCUGAGAUUUGUCACGUCCUCUUCCAGACACUGCUCAAUCUCUUUUGCAUUCCAGCUUCCCAGCAUGCUACCGAUGAUUAUCUUCUAAAGCGAUUGUAUAUGUUUGUACAAUACAUGUAUCAUCCACCCUCUGGAAAUACUGUCCUGAAGGAGGGCAUUUGGUUACCAUUAGAGCAGCUGUUUUACUUCCAAGGAGAGAGAGGUGCUGUGGCCCUGUUGCCUCAGAUACGAGAACUGAAGAACAAGGCAUGAGUCAAUGAGUCAGAGUCAGAAAUGCAGCCCAGGAUCUACUUUGGGGCUCCCUUUCUUUCUCCAUAUAACAGCUUAGGAAGCGCUGGCAUUACACUCUGGCACAACAGGAGAAACUUUCCUCUAUCCAUCAGAGGGCCAGAGAGAGGAGACAGAUGCCUGGAGUUGGUCAGGACAAGGACUCUAUCUAGUUCUCAUGCUAUGUAUCCCCUCCCCCCACCCCGCCCCCGCCCCCACCAUCCCACACACUCCAAUGCCUACCUUACUCAGUGCUCAUCUUGACCCUAGUGAGCUCUGGUCGAAUGAAUGAAUGAAUGGAUGACAACUUGUGACUCCCAUUUUGAUGUUUGAACUAUUAAUUCAACAUUUCUUAAAAUGGUAUGGCCGGCCCGUACAGAAGAGAAAAAAGUGCCCUGCGUCGCGUAUCUGCAAUUGUUCUCGUAAAAACAGCAGUAAGGGUCUCUCCUGGUUGACAGGAGACUCUAUGCCUUUGGUUCUAGUGGUGUCCUUUUCUAAUUAAACAAAUACCUGAGUAAAUAAAUAAACACAAGCACCGUA